AAUUCUGGAGCUAAUACAUGCUUGUAGACCCUGACUUUUGAAAGGGUGCAAUUAUUAGAGCAAAUCAAUCAUUUUCGGAUGUAGUUUGCUGACUCUGAAUAACGCAGCAUAUCGGCGGCUUGUUCGCCGAUAUUCCGAGAAAGUGUCUGCCCUAUCAACCUGAUGGUAGUCUAUUAGUCUACCAUGGUUAUUACGGGUAACGGAGAAUAAGGGUUCGACUCCGGAGAGGGAGCCUUAGAAACGGCUACCACAUCCAAGGAAGGCAGCAGGCGCGAAACUUAUCCAAUCUUGAAUAGAUGAGAUAGUGACUAAAAAUAAAAAGACCAUUCCUAUGGAACGGUUAUUUCAAUGAGUUGAUCAUAAACCUAUUUUUCGAGUAU
rnacentral:rRNA from 2 species